CAUCCCUCCAGUUUUCUUAUUUCCACUGAAUGUCGAAUUUCAAUGUCAAGUUAAUUCAAUAGGCGUCAGGAGCGUCAAUCUUGCACGCACUCCGACUCCUUCCAUAACUUUGUACACGGUGGACAUGCAAGCGCGUCAACCGGGACCGGAGCUCCGUUGUCGGUCGUCCACCCGAAUCGGAGGCUUAUUAGACACCGUGGAACUCCUGCGGAACGUGGUGCGCCUCACCUGCACGCGAAGUUAUUUGUUAUUUACGAGAUCGAUAGCACGCCGAGAUAGCGUCAAAGCAUUAAAAGGCUGAUCAAGAAGGACAAGCAUGCGCUAUUUUAACAAAGUGUCGCUUCAAUUGCCCAUUUUUCAAGUUUGUACCACAACCACGGACGAUGGCGAAAUUCCACUUCAGCACCGGCUUUUGGUAAUUCAUCAGCGAUGCAUUAUUAAUCAAGAAAGGAUAAGGAAACUCUUUCAAUUAUGGUCAGGCUACAUGUAUGGAAACGACGCGCCAGUGUUUCACAGCGGUGAGCAACAUGGCUGCCCGGUGUUCUGAAGCACGGCGGGAUGUGUCAGUGUGGUGCAAGGACUGACACGGGGGCGAGAUGCACUUUAUGGCUACGAAGUUAAGCGCUAGUGGCAAAGUGGCUUUUCUCAGAUGUUCCCCGCGACCUUCGACCUCAGCGUCGGGGGGUCAAGCCCUGACAAAUGGGAUGGCCGAGUUCUGACCAGAACUGCCAACAUUCCACAACAAUCUCGCGUCCUCCUCCACUCGCCUCAUAUCCGUGAUGUGUCACCGGGCACCCCCCGCCCUUUUAGACUCAACGUCUGCCAUGACUUGGGUAAAGUUCUCAUUAGACAAACAUAGUUGAUUGAGUGUGCUGUGGGAAUCUUUAAACACAUACAUUUGGAAUUAAGAAUUACAACAUGAGCUAAAAUUUAAUUUCCCAUAAACAUCUCGCUUGUUUAGACAAGGGAAGGGAACAAAAACCAUCUAGCGAAUAUUACGACCUCGUGUGUGUGUGUGAGAGAGAGAGAAAAAAGCUUGUCAGUGAUGUCAAGGAUGAGAAAUGUUGCAGUGUGCUUUUUACACACACUGCUGGCUCUAGCAUUUCCGGCAACAUUUCUCACUCUGCUUCCCUCACACCAUUCACUCUGCUGCAAUAUCCCCACAUUUUUCUAUCCUUUCACAUCACCCCCCCUUCCUCUCCACCCCCCUCCACUUCCCUCCCCCCUCUCUUUCUUUCUUCUGGCCAUUCUGUCUCCUUUUACUACUCAUGUCUGCUGCCCCGUCCUCACCCAAUGUCAACCUCUCUUUUAUUCCACAUCUCAUUCAGUCACUUCUCCUCUCUCCCUCUGGUCAUCUUCCUCCUCGUUAUAUUCUCGGAUUUUCUAACAUCGCAAAGCGUGCAAACACCUGCAACUGUUUAAAAGGGUAUAAGGAAUGUCGUUCUGCACGAGGAAGCUAGUUAAGGUAAGUGGCACGUCCUAAUGAUGGGGCAAAUAAUGAUUGUGUUUGUUUAUGAACGUUCCUUAUAGUAUGACCCCGGCUUCCUAAAUGUCAACCGUCUUCCCCUCCGAGCUCAGCGCACAGCUAUAAAAACAAAAAAAAGUCAUUGUGGAUGCGAGUCAGUAAAAGAAGCUUCUGUAAUAAUAUACAGUGGUUGCACCACAAGCCAAAUAAAAAUAUCAAUCUCA